GACAGAGGGUGCAAACGUUGUUCGGAAUUACUGGGCGUAAAGCGCGUGUAGGCGGCCCUGCAAGUCGGAUGUGAAAUCCCACGGCUCAACCGUGGAAGUGCAUUCGAAAACUGCAGGGCUAGAGUCCUGGAGAGGAAGGUGGAAUGCUUGGUGUAGAGGUGAAAUUCGUAGAUAUCAAGCGGAACACCGGUGGCGAAGGCGGCCUUCUGGACAGUGACUGACGCUGAGGAGCGAAAAGCGUGGGGAGCGAAGAGGA
rnacentral:rRNA from 1 species